GACGAACGCUGGCGGCGUGCUUAACACAUGCAAGUCGAACGGAAAGGCCCUGCUUUUGUGGGGUGCUCGAGUGGCGAACGGGUGAGUAACACGUGAGUAACCUGCCCUUGACUUUGGGAUAACUUCAGGAAACUGGGGCUAAUACCGGAUAGGAGCUCCUGCUGCAUGGUGGGGGUUGGAAAGUUUCGGCGGUUGGGGAUGGACUCGCGGCUUAUCAGCUGGUUGGUGGGGUAGUGGCUUACCAAGGCUUUGACGGGUAGACGGCCUGAGAGGGUGACCGGCCACAUUGGGACUGAGAUACGGCCCAGACUCCUACGGGAAGCAGCAGUGGGGAAUAUGGCACAAUGGGCGGAAGCCUGAUGCAACAACGCCGCGUGCGGGAUGACGGCCUUCGGGUUGUAAACCGCUUUCGCCUGUGACGAAGCGUGAGUGACGGUAAUGGGUAAAGAAGCACCGGCUAACUACGUG
rnacentral:rRNA from 1 species